AUACGUAGGUGGCAAGCGUUGUCCGGAAUUACUGGGUGUAAAGGGAGCGCAGGCGGGCGUGCAAGUCAGCUGUGUAAUCCAUGGGCUUAACCCGUGGGCUGCCGUUGAAACUGUACGUCUUGCGUGACGUCAAGGUAGGCGGAAUUCCGUGUGGAGAGGUUAAAAGGGUAGAUAUUCGGAGGAAAACCGGUGGCGAAGGCGGCCUACUGGGCUUUAACUGACGCUGAGGCUCGAAAGUGUGGGGAGCAAACAGGAUUAGAUACCCUGGUAGUCCACACUGUAAACGAUGAUUGCUAGGUGUGGGGGGUCUGACCCCUUCCGUGCCGCAGUUAACGCAAUAAGCAAUCCACCUGGGGAGUACGGCCGCAAGGCUAAAACUCAAAUGAAUUGACGGGG
rnacentral:rRNA from 1 species